UGGGGAAUUUUGGACAAUGGGCGCAAGCCUGAUCCAGCCAUGCCGCGUGCAGGAUGAAGGCCUUCGGGUUGUAAACUGCUUUUGUACGGAACGAAAAGGUUCUUUCUAAUAAAGAGAGCUCAUGACGGUACCGUAAGAAUAAGCACCGGCUAACUACGUGCCAGCAGCCGCGGUAAUACGUAGGGUGCAAGCGUUAAUCGGAAUUACUGGGCGUAAAGCGUGCGCAGGCGGUGAUGUAAGACAGUUGUGAAAUCCCCGGGGCUCAACCUGGGAACUGCAUCUGUGACUGCAUCGCUGGAGUGCGGCAGAGGGGGGAUGGAAUUCCGCGUGUAGCAGUGAAAUGCGUAGAUAUGCGGAGGAACACCGAUGGCGAAGGCAAUACCCCUGGGCCUGCACUGACGCUCAUGCACGAAAAGCGUGGGGAGCAAACAGGAUUAGAUACCCUGGUAGUCCACGCCCUAAACGAUGUCAACUGGUUGUUGGGUCUUCACUGACUCAGUAACGAAGCUAACGCGUGAAGUUGACCGCCUGGGGAGUACGGCCGCAAGGUGAAACUCAAAGGAAUUGACGGGGUCAUAGCUGUUUCCUG
rnacentral:rRNA from 1 species